rnacentral:misc_RNA from 1 species
AACGCACAUUGCGCCCUUUGGUAUUCCUUAGGGCAUGCCUGUUCGAGCGUCAUUUAAACCUUCAAGCUCAGCUUGGUGAUGGGUGACUGUCCUCCCCUCGCGGGGGGACUCGCCUCAAAAACAUUGGCGGCCGGUACAUUGGCUUCGAGCGCAGCAGAAACGCGGUCUCGAGCCCGGUGGAUCGGCUCCCAUAAGUCUAUUCUUUUAUUUUGACCUCGGAUCAGGUAGGGAUACCCGCUGAACUUAA